rnacentral:sRNA from 1 species
GCGCGUGCGCGCGCGGGGCUGACUGCGGGAGCCCUGGCUGGGAAGCGGCUAGGGCACCCGGGCAAGCAGCAGAACCCGCGGCCGGCUGAGUCCUCUCCAGCCGCGAGAGGCGGGCUCCAGCCGCGGCUCGCGCGCUCGCUCUGAGCCCCCGCGCCCAGGUGGGAUGGAAGAAGCCUGUCAGAGAUGAGGAAACCAAAGCCCAGAAAAGAUAAACUGCCCAAGUUCAUUCUCAGUAUGCAACCUAUGCAGAGUGCAGUUCAUCAGAUACUCAGCCCAGUAUUUAUUUGCUCAACUAUAUAGAGAUGGCUUUCCUGAAGAUAAAGAUCAGAAAAGGUGCAGACAACUAAGCGAGGGGAUCCUCAUGAGUUAAGAAACAUAUUUCUACAGUAUGCCAGUACUGAGGUUGAUGGAGAGCAUUACAUGACCCCAGAAGACUUUGUUCAGCGCUAUCUUGGACUGUAUAAUGAUCCAAAUAGUAACCCAAAGAUCGUGCAGCUCUUGGCAGGAGUAGCUGAUCAAACCAAGGAUGGGUUGAUCUCCUAUCAAGAGUUUU